AUAUUUAUUUAGGAGGAGAAAUACCGUGAUCACGAAGUUGGUUUCGUAAGCGCGAGGCUUUUAGUUAGCCUUCGUAUGUGCUGACCUCUGCGAUUAUCCCCAAAUGUGGAAAACUGGAGUGCAUAGUUUGUUGUAAGGGGGCACUGCGUUCGCGCUUUCUUUUG
ensembl:snRNA U1 U1 spliceosomal RNA